ACACACACGCAAUUAACAUAUUCCUGACAAUGUUUUAAAUCAUUUUGUGGCGUCUGCCAAACGGGAAACAAGCCAAAAAGAAAAAAUGAGGCUUUUUGGCGCCAUUUUCACCUUAACUGUUUUUCUGUUCUUGGUUCACUUUAGUUCAGGUCUACCACUUUUGUGUGAGUUUGCCUGCAUUGCUCUCUACGACCCUGUCUGCGGAUCGGACGG
rnacentral:sRNA from 1 species